UCCUCGGUAGCUCAGUGGUAGAGCAAUCGGCUGUUAACCGGUUGGCCGUAGGUUCGAAUCCUACCCCGGGGAG
rnacentral:tRNA from 1 species